rnacentral:tRNA from 1 species
CAUCGACACCCAUGACAAAGUGGCCGCCGCCCACAGCCGAGUGGAGGCCGCGCGCAACCGGGCCCGGGAAACCCUGG